rnacentral:tRNA from 1 species
GGUAGUAUGGCUGAUUUUAGGCGGUAGUCUGUAAAAUUACACAUAGGGGGUCCCCCUUACUACCA